AAGAGACAGCAGUAGCCGCGGGAAUACAGAGGGUGCGAGCGUUAAUCGGAUUUACUGGGCGUAAAGCGUGCGUAGGCGGCUUCUUAAGUCGGAUGUGAAAUCCCUGAGCUUAACUUAGGAAUUGCAUUCGAUACUGGGAAGCUAGAGUAUGGGAGAGGAUGGUAGAAUUCCAGGUGUAGCGGUGAAAUGCGUAGAGAUCUGGAGGAAUACCGAUGGCGAAGGCAGCCAUCUGGCCUAAUACUGACGCUGAGGUACGAAAGCAUGGGGAGCAAACAGGAUUAGAUACCCCAGUAGUCCCUGUCUCUUAUAC
rnacentral:rRNA from 1 species